GGGAAACAUUCUAUUUAUACCAUCAUUAACUUCAAUUAACACAAAUAAACAAAUAAAGCUAAAUAAUGCAGCAUUUGAGAGAGUGGGAUCCAUCACCACUGGAAAAGCGGCAUAUUCUAAAAUUCGUCGGGUAGAAGAAAAGGAAAACAAAGGAACUAAGACAUUGCAUUAAUCUAGCCAACGCAAUCCUUUCUUUUUUCUGAGAGUUGGACCUUUUUACUGCAUAAACGUGCAGGAGUAUUGACAAAUUCAUGUGUUGGGUUUGAACACAUUUUCAUGGCAACAUAUUGCCAGUUGUAUCUGGUGAAUUCCACAGCACGAUCCCUCCUUUCAAGAAUAUAUAUAUAUAUAUAUAUAUAUAUAUAUUUGACUGGUUGCUAUUCAAAGGCUGCUUCUAUUGAAACUUGAAACUGGUAUCUUCCCAACUCCUUCGGAUAAGCAAUCCACCACUGAAAUACAAACAUGAAUUACCUUGUUCGGAUGCUAACUGUGUCCCUGAACUGAAAAUUCUCUGUAGAAAGAGUCGCCUGUAUAUUGAUAUUGGUUUUUGAAUGUGAUUCUGUUACUUCAGCCUUCAGCAUAAAGCUGCAGGAUGCUCGAGUUGUGCCCCCCCUGAAAUGGCCAAGUACAACAGAGGAACACAUAGGGUCUCCCUAAUUGGUAAAUUUUUCUAAAAAAUAAAUGAAACAUGAAGCAGAAAAAUGUGUCUGUUUGCAUUGCAGUAUGUCUAGUACAUUUUUUAUAUAUGCGAAUUUUUUACUAAAAAUAAUUAAAUAAAAAUUUUACUAUUUAUUUUUUAUUUUAAUAAUGCACUACAAAUUUAUCCAUUUUUAUUAAAAAAAAAAAAAAGAGAAUUGAAACCGUGAAUAAUUAUAGAAAAGGAAGUACAAUAUACACAUAGGCAGACCCAUAUGAAGAUCAAUGGGGCUGAAGCCUUCACUCGGAUUUAAAAAAAUAAAUAAAAAAACAUAUUACCACUCUCUCAUUAUUGUACGUUUCACAAAAAAAAAAAAUCAAAUAUUUAAAAUAAAUUAUAUUUACCAUCAUUUAUUUAUUCAUAAUUUCUUAAUUAUUUUAAAGUGUUUUAUAUUUUAAAUAAUUAUAAAUAUUAUCGUCAGUCUCAAUUACUUUAGAUCUUCCGUUCAUCUCGAAUAUAUAACCAUCUUUUAUUUUUUAUAUUUAAAUAUUUUUUAUUAUAGAAAUGAUGUUAUGUAAAAUAAAUAGGGAAGAUGACGCAAGAAAUUGCUUUUUCCGAGCAAACAGAUUCUUUUCUUUCUAUUUUUUUUUUCUUUUGACAUUUACUGCUAAAACAUACCUGAGUACAGAAUUAGGUUUGAUCACAGUUUAUGGUUAAGAGGAACAAAAUGGAAAUAAAGAAUUGUACUAUUUGUGCAUUACACAGCACAUUCCCUGCUUUGAAAGAAUAAAUUGCAUUUUGACUGGUUAAAUAUUCUUCAGGUUGGCUGUGAAACUGGCAUCUUUGUGGCCCUUCGCCCUUCCUCUUUGUUUUCUUACAUUUGGCUAACUGCUCUCCAUAGCAAACACGAA
rnacentral:lncRNA from 1 species